GUUCCCUUCGCAAUUGCUAGCAUAAAACCAUACUUCAGUGAGUAUUAAAAUCAGUUAACAUUAAUGCCAGUGACACACAUGCUGCUUGUAUCUGCAUAACGUAUGCUCUGAAAAAGGAAACUGUCUUGGUAUUUUUUCCUUAGAAAAAAGUAUAGCCACUAAAUCUUGCACUCUGAUCAGCUACCUUUCCCUGCAAUGAUGGAGGUGAUUACGGUUAUCAGAGCAGCCCCUAUAUUUCCUUGGAUAAAGCAUUUUCUCAAAAGCUACAAUUUCUAACAUACUAAUGCUGACAAAAUUGAAUACAAAAAAUGAACUAUACAAAAACCAUUCAGAAAAGGCAGAGAGUCUUCCUGGAAGAAAAAGGUGAUUUUGGUUUUCCACAUAUCCCCCACAAAAGGGGAGGGCUAAGUUAGUGAAAGUGCCUCAUUAAAAAGUUGAGAGGUAAGAUUCUCUUUCCAACAAGCAGGUAUGGCUAUGAACUCAUACUUGGGAAGUAGCCGGCAGCAUGAGAGCAAUGACAGAAAAAAGACAGAUAAAGAAAACUCAAAGGAGGACUAUAGGAUCAGUGUGAAGUUUAUGGGGAAACUUCACCAGGAAGAAGCUCUGUGCCAGACUCUCUCAGCUGAAAAACUCUGGAAUCCACCUUGUAACGUUUGACGAACAUUAGUGCAGGGCCUGAUAGUAGCUUCACAAUUGUCUUUUACUGAGGCACAUUCUGUCUCCACCCACAAUGUGACUGCCAACCUCGAGUGGUAUGCACGAAUUCCAUCUGGGCUAUCAGGCCUUUAAUUCUGUACAUACAGUUUGUGGUCUAAGCAGAACACCGCUCAUGGCUUCUUGGUUUUUUCUUUAAUACACAUUCUCUGGAUUGAUUGUAGCUGUAUCGACAGGCCCUUUUCAAGCAUGUGCAUUUGCAUUUUUAGAACACAGACAAACCUACAGAACAAUCAGUCCAAGAAAUCAAUUGAACUUGCCAUCAGCCACCCACCUCAAAGGAGAAGAAAAUGGGCACACACAGGAACUGUCUGUCACCUGGGACAAAAACUGUAGAUUUAUUUUGGAGGUCUCGAAGAGCAAGUUAACCAGCAGGUCAUAGGUUCAAGUCUUUAAACCAGGGCCGACCAGAGGAUUCAGGGGGCCUGGAGCAGGGCCGGGUCUUCGGCGGGUCCCUCUCAGAGGAAAGGGCCAGCCACCGAAUUGCAGCCGAAGAAUGAAGAGGCAGCAGUAGAGCUGCCGCCGAUCGCAGCUUAUUAUUAUUUUUCCCGCUGCUUGCGGCGGAGCUUGUACUCACUGGGUGGCGCUCUGAGGCUUCGGCAGCACUUCAGUGGCGGGUCCUUCACUCACUCUGAGUCUUCCACUGCACUGAAGGACCUGGCGCUGAAGACCCGGAGCGAGUGAAGGGCCCACCACCGAACUGUUGCCAAAAACCCAGAGCAGCUCGCGGGGCAAAUUGCCCCACUUCCCCCCACUCCCUGGACCUGAUUUAAACCACGCAUGCCAUAGGUUGUCUACCCUGCUUUAAACCAUGAUUUGAGGACUUCAACGGCGCAGACAUAGGUUAGGGGUUUGUUGCGAGAGUGGGUUGGUGAGAUUCUGUGGCCUGAGUUGUGCAGGAGGUCAGAGCAGACUAUCAUAAUGGUCUCUUCUGACCUUAAAGUCUAUGACUCUACAGGUAACUGUUUGCUGAGCAUGGGAAUUAGAGGAUGUGUUAGGGAACACUGCACAGGGCUGAGUAGCAAUUGGAGAAGCAGUGAUCAGCAGUCCUCUUUUUGGAAUAACCUAUGUGAUAGACUUCACUUUUUUGUGCAUACAGCUCUCUUUGCACAGUCUGCUUCCCCGUGGCUGGGGCCCAGCUCAAGGAGUACAGCUUUUUUGUGGCUCUGAGCCAAGUUGGCUGCUGGAAGCUGGAGAUACAGUAUGAGAGAGAGAACGUCAGUAGACAUGGACUGAAAGAUUGUGGGGGAGAAAAAAUAAGGAUGGAAUGGAAUGCUGGGGGGAGAGAAAAAUCUAGUUAUGUUAGUAUUUGGGGACUGCAGCAAUAAGAACUCAGAAGCUGUCAGUCACCGCUCCUGCAGGACGAUGACAACUCCUCCCAGGGCUAAUGGAGACAGACAGCUGCCUGUUUCUGCAGGGAAAGGGAUCAGAGCCAAGUGUACAGAUUUUCUAUUUCGACAGAAGUGCCACCUGAAUACUUCAAGACUCCUGAAUUAGGCACUGGAAGGGUUAGGUCAAGUAUUUGGCUGCUGCAUCUGGAGGAGAUGCACUAGCCUUUCAAAGGGGAGGAGAAAAGAGCACACACUGCUUGGGUAACAGUCUCUGGCACAAAGGAGGGAGGAAGCCUUCUUCCCCAAAAAGGACUAGCUGUGGGCUGGGAGAUGUAACCAUGGGCACAAUGACAGCUGAAAAACCUGCCGCAGGGUGCAUGUGAUUUCUUUUUUAAAGCCAUUAAAUUUUUAAAGCUUUGUUUAGGA